UGGGGAAUAUUGGACAAUGGGCGCAAGCCUGAUCCAGCCAUACCGCGUGGGUGAAGAAGGCCUUCGGGUUGUAAAGCCCUUUUGUUGGGAAAGAAAUCCAGCUGGCUAAUACCCGGUUGGGAUGACGGUACCCAAAGAAUAAGCACCGGCUAACUUCGUGCCAGCAGCCGCGGUAAUACGAAGGGUGCAAGCGUUACUCGGAAUUACUGGGCGUAAAGCGUGCGUAGGUGGUCGUUUAAGUCCGUUGUGAAAGCCCUGGGCUCAACCUGGGAACUGCAGUGGAUACUGGGCGACUAGAGUGUGGUAGAGGGUAGCGGAAUUCCUGGUGUAGCAGUGAAAUGCGUAGAGAUCAGGAGGAACAUCCAUGGCGAAGGCAGCUACCUGGACCAACACUGACACUGAGGCACGAAAGCGUGGGGAGCAAACAGGAUUAGAUACCCUGGUAGUCCACGCCCUAAACGAUGCGAACUGGAUGUUGGGUGCAAUUUGGCACGCAGUAUCGAAGCUAACGCGUUAAGUUCGCCGCCUGGGGAGUACGGUCGCAAGACUGAAGCUUAAAUGAAUUGACGGGGUCAUAGCUGUUUCC
rnacentral:rRNA from 1 species